AGUUCGUGGAGUGAUCUGUCUGCUUAAUUGCGUUUCAAAAUUUAAACCUGAGCGACAAGGUGCUGCUAUCGAAACUGUCUUUGAGUGUGAACUAUAAGUCUUUUGACUUAUGACCAUCACUCUAGACGUUUAUGUUUUGGUGUUGGCCCUUGAUGCUCAUUUGAACGCAACGGACGUGAUUGCAACCCCUUGUUGAGAUUUAUCCGAUCUCUACGUUCACUGAACCACACUCUUUAGCGAGAGCAGUGGGGAUGUGGAUAAACUCGGGGGACUGCUGACUAUAAACUUUUCUCAAACCAGAGGAAGGUUGCGGCAAUAACAGGUCUGUGAUGCCCUCAGAUGUUCCGGGCUGCACACGUGCUACAUUUAGUAGCGCAGUGUGCACAUUAAUAGAGUGAUAGGUUCCGUGGUUUGUACAUUUUAAGGGCUCGUCCUAGUAACCAAAGCUCCACGGGACAUAUCAACCUUCCCCUUACAGGGCGGGUAACCUCUUCGAAGUGCUGGCAUGAUUUCCCUAGUUUUGGCAUUUGAAUCCUUGUCGCAGCAGCCCUGAGACGUAGUGAACGCUGCAAAGUGAUUCCAGUCUUAGGUUUGCGACACAUGCAAUUCCUGGUUGACUCAUCGUGGGGAC
rnacentral:rRNA from 1 species